rnacentral:rRNA from 1 species
UGGGGAAUAUUGGACAGUGGGGGGAACCCUGAUCCAGCCAUGCCGCGUGUGUGAAGAAGGCCUUAUGGUUGUAAAGCACUUUAAGCGAGGAGGAGGCUCUCUUGGUUAAUACCCAAGAAGAGUGGACGUUACUCGCAGAAUAAGCACCGGCUAACUCUGUGCCAGCAGCCGCGGUAAUACAGAGGGUGCGAGCGUUAAUCGGAUUUACUGGGCGUAAAGCGUGCGUAGGCGGCUUUUUAAGUCGGAUGUGAAAUCCCCGAGCUUAACUUGGGAAUUGCAUUCGAUACUGGGAAGCUAGAGUAUGGGAGAGGAUGGUAGAAUUCCAGGUGUGGCGGUGAAAUGCGUAGAGAUCUGGAGGAAUACCGAUGGCGAAGGCAGCCAUCUGGCCUAAUACUGACGCUGAGGUACGAAAGCAUGGGGAGCAAACAGG